rnacentral:tRNA from 1 species
GGGCCUAUAGCUCAGCUGGUUAGAGCGCACGCCUGAUAAGCGUGAGGUCGGUGGUUCGAGUCCACUUAGGCCAA